rnacentral:rRNA from 1 species
GUCUGUUUGUAGAUAUAAAAAGUCUAGCCUGCCCACUGAUAAAUUUUAAAGGCCGCAGUAUUCUGACUGUGCAAAGGUAGCAUAAUAGUUAGUUUCUUAAUUAGAAUCUUGUAUGAAUGGUUUGACAAAAAAAAAUCUGUCUUUAUAAUUAUUUAUUGAAUUUAACUUUUAAGUGAAAAGGCUUAAAUAAAUUAAAAAGACGAUAAGACCCUAUAAAGCUUAAUAUUGUUUAUAUUAUUUAAUAAAAUUUUUAUUAAUAUAAAUAUUUGGUAAUAAUUAAUAUUUUAUUGGGGUGAUAAUAAUAAAAUGAUUAUUAACUGUUAAUUAAUUAAAACAAAAAUAAAUGAAUAAAAAUUAAAUAAAUGAUCCUAUAUUAAAGAUUAAAAGUUUAAGUUACUUUAGGGAUAACAGCGUUAUUUUUUUUAAGAGUUCUUAUCGAAAAAAAAGUUUGCGACCUCGAUGUUGAAUUAGAAUAUCUAUAUAAUUGUAGCAGUUA